GACGAACGCUGGCGGCGUGCCUAAUACAUGCAAGUCGAACGCUUUUUCUUUCACCGGAGCUUGCUCCACCGAAAGAAAAAGAGUGGCGAACGGGUGAGUAACACGUGGGUAACCUGCCCAUCAGAAGGGGAUAACACUUGGAAACAGGUGCUAAUACCGUAUAACACUAUUUUCCGCAUGGAAGAAAGUUGAAAGGCGCUUUUGCGUCACUGAUGGAUGGACCCGGGGUGCAUUAGCUAGUUGGUGAGGUAACGGCUCACCAAGGCAACGAUGCAUAGCCGACCUGAGAGGGUGAUCGGCCACACUGGGACUGAGACACGGCCCAGACUCCUACGGGAGGCAGCAGUAGGGAAUCUUCGGCAAUGGACGAAAGUCUGACCGAGCAACGCCGCGUGAGUGAAGAAGGUUUUCGGAUCGUAAGACUCUGUUGUUAGAGAAGAACAAGGAUGAGAGUAGAACGUUCAUCUCUUGACGGUACCUAACCAGAAAGCCACGGCUAACUACGUGCCAGCCGCCGCGGUAA
rnacentral:rRNA from 1 species